GCUUCAAGGUGCUUACCCAACGCAGCAUUUCGACAAAAAUGCGCCGGAUGCAAAAGGAAGAAGGAGCAACUCAACUGAACAACUCAAAUUGGAAUUCGUGCCAGUCAUUCUGUUACGUCUGAGAGCGGCAAUCUAGUACGCUACUACGUCAAUUCGCGUUUGAAGUGAAAUUCCUCAAUGAAAGUUACUGCAUGUCGUGUACUAACUGUCUACUAGUAAUGACAGUAGUGACAGAUGUGGUACGAGUCCCGGUCGACGUAAAAGCAACGAUGGUAACGGCACGUCCAUGUGCAUCAGGAAGAAGAGAAUGUGGCACCUGUUCGAGACAGGUUUGUCUCCUGAUGCAGAAGAAACCAGCCGGUUUUAGCAAUCAAUAAUCUUUGAUGCCCAUCUGCCUUUCGUGUGGAGAAAAGAGAGAGUAAAAAUUAUAACUACACAUGUCUCUAUAGAGACCUUCACACGCUCAAACUAUCUCAAGCCACGGUCUACAGUAAUUUGAGAGAAAUCAUAUGUGGAUUGUCUUAAGAUCGCUCAGCUCGAUAUUGCAAACAGAGUCUUCUUUCUCCAUACCGCUAUCUUCUCCUUCUUCUUUGAUUUUAUCUUUAAUUU